UGGGACUUGGGAGCUGGAAUUUAUAUAUCAUUCUAUCUCAUAAGAAGUUCAUUGCAAGAAAACAAUAAUACAAUGAGUGAACUGGAUUCUCUUGAGAACAAAAGUUCUACCUGUAGAGACUUCCUUGGUCACCUGAAUGAAUCUGUGGCAGUUUUUGCUGAUCGAUUACCAAUUGAUGCAAGGGUAGCAUACUCAAAGAUGGCAGAGG
rnacentral:misc_RNA from 1 species